rnacentral:rRNA from 1 species
UACGAAGGGUGCAAGCGUUACUCGGAAUUACUGGGCGUAAAGCGUGCGUAGGUGGUUUGUUAAGUCUGAUGUGAAAGCCCUGGGCUCAACCUGGGAACGGCAUUGGAAACUGGCUUACUAGAGUGCGGUAGAGGGGUGUGGAAUUCCCGGUGUAGCAGUGAAAUGCGUAGAUAUUAGGAGGAACACCGGUGGCGAAGGCGCCACUCUGGGCCGAAACUGGACGCUGAGGAGCGAAAGCGUGGGUAGCAAGCAGG